AAGAUGCUGAAGGAAAACGCGUUGGUAUUUCUGAAGUGGGAUGUUUUCUUUCGAAAACUACAGAAUUCUUUUUCUCCAGGUUUUGUCAGCUGGAGCUUCUCAGAAGCACUGACAGAGACGGGCAUCUGAAAACUUCGUGUUGCCCCAAACCCGAAACCCUUUCCCGCUGUUCCCGUCACGGGGGCGCGCAAAGCGGGCCGUGUGCGCGCAGGGACGUGAGACGGGGGGGGGGGUGCGCGUGCGUGCGCGCUCCCGCGGGGCAGCCCGGCAGCCGCGCCUAUUGCAUCAGUCGGAUCGGCCCAGGCCGGGCCCAGCACGCCGCGCCCUGUCCACGCCCGCCUCCCCCCGCCGUGCCGGGAGUGGCGCUGUUGGAGCGGAGCGGCGGGGCAAGGUUGCCUCCAGCCGCCCGAAGAGGAAAGGCUGCGACGGGGGAGAGGCGGGGAGGAAUAAAAUGAUUUUUAAAAAUAAUAAUUAAAAAAAAAAAAAAAUCUUGCUGCUCGGCCCGGCUCAGCCCUGCGCUACUCGCGCCACCUUAAAUCUUCCCCCCCUUCACUCCCCCCCCCCCCGCUCCGCCCGCUUCCUCCCGCGGAGGCUCCGCCGCCAGGCCCCUCCACAACAACAACCCGGGCCGGGGGGAGAGGGGCUGUCCCCUCCCCCGAUCCCGCCAAACGGGAAGGGCGAUGGGGCUGGCAGAGAGCGGGGCGGAAAGCCCCAUCGGCUAUCACCAAAAUUAAAUAAAAUACUGAGGCGAAGGACUUGCUUGCAGCAGCUCCUCCAAACACUUUGUUCGUACUGGGGGGGGGGGGGGGGAAUCGUUACUCCCCGGGAAGCUCCGGCUCUGCGCGCUCUCCUCGGCCGGGGACAAAGCCGAGUGGCUGUCCCGUCCCUCCCCGGCUCACUGCAGCAUUUUCGGGCAGUUCCAACGCGAGGGCGAGCCUAAGCGCGACCGCGAUCAACAGCCGGAUCGAGUUGCAGAGCGGGGCGAACUCGGAGGAGACUCGCCCAGGGCUUCCCCCACCCCCCCGCCCCCUUCCAUCGCGCUGCGCUCAUUUUUGCGUGAUGCGAAUCCUCUCCUUCACUGUGCCCCAGGGGGCGGGGGGGACACCCGCAUCUUGCGACCCCAAAUGCCGCGCUCGCCCCGAUCUGUGGCAGCCGGGGGAGUCCGCGGAGAGAGAGAUGGGCUGGGCCGGGGGCUGCGCGCAGCGGUGCUGGGGCAGCGGGUCCGGGCGCCAUCUUGGUUAGCGCCGAGGCGGCGGGAGAGGGUGGGACACGGCGCUGCUCGGCGUCAGGCCGCGGGCGGACAGGCCCCAGGCCCAGACCUCGGGUUUGGGCGCCUGGCGGCACGGAAGCGGCCACAUUCUGGCCUCGAGGGGGAAAGUUUUGUCUCAGGCCUACCCGGAGAGAGGGGCUGGUGGGGACCCAGAGCACGGAACACUAGGCACACUAGGCUCGGGGUUGAGGUGCUUCCCCCCGUUCUACACCAAAACAACAGCGUCUCAAGCUGCUUCAUCGUUACAUAAAACGGGAAGAAAAAAAAAAAAGAAAAAAAAGUUAUAAAUUGUGAUGGAGGACAUUCCACAACGUAGAACUUAAGAGGGCACGUUCAUCCCAGCUCUCACCGAGAACUAGCACAGCACCGAGGGCUGCACCCCUCCACCUGUGCCAGGCCCACACCCCGGGCAGCCCCCUGCGAGCUGCACACACACACUCAGGAAGGACAUGGCUCUUACAGAUGGCACUUCUCUUUAUUGAUUGCUCGCUGUGAAACAACAUCGAUCCGUAUUUCUGCUUUUUUUUUUUUUCUUUUUCCCCAAACAUUACAAAAAAUAUGGAAUUGGCUCAGUCUGCAAUCCUUUUAAGCACAGCCAUAUUAUCAGGAAGGAAGGGAAAAAAAAACAACCAAAAAAAAAAAAACAAAAACAAAAAAAACCUCUAAGAAGUCUACCAAAUAGAGCAUUUACAAAUGCACAAAAACACGCCGCUUUGGCUUUAUGGGGAAAAAUACUGUUUUCUAGAUUAAAAAAAAAAUCUUUUAAACAUAAAUAAGUUAGUAUAAUUUCUCAGUGUCUUUACAGAGUUAUGUACACAGGUACACUUCAAACUUUUUAUUUUUACAUACAGGUACACAGGCAAUGUAGAAAUACUGUUUAAAGAUGUAGUAUCCCUUUCCCUCACACAAGGACGAAAGGAUGUGGGCCUGGUCAGAAAACAGCAACAUUGGAGAUUCGGAACAAGUGCCCUCCGGAUUCCUUUCCAAAAAUAAAAAUAACAACUCCGGCGAUGUAGCAAAUGGGGUGAAUUUGUGAGACUAGAGGCAUUCCAAUUUCCUAUAGGGAUCUGAGGUGGGGGGAUCACCCCACCUCCCACCCCUUCAGCCCAGCACAGCGAAGAGGGCUCUGACGGCGGCCUGCAGGCAUCUGCUGCGAGCAGCGCUACCACCGUGUUGCGAGGAAAAAAUAAAAACACAGGGGACCCACUUAAAGGGACAAUACAUCUUUAAGGAAUAAAGAGCCUACACUGCUUCUCUUCAUUUCUUUGCUUGCUAGAUGGCGAAAGCAAGUUUCCAUCGGUCGCCCUCUUCCACUCCCCCCCCCUCCCAAAACGUUUAUGUGCUACAUAAGGUAAAAACUAUAUACACAGGUAGUACAAUGAAGCAAAUAAGGAAACACCUAAUUGCACAAUGCUACAUCCGAUGCUUUUAGAGGCAGGUCUUUUAAGAGUGUCUAAACUUUUAGUGUUAUUGUCUGCUUUUUUUUUUGUUUUGCUGUCGUUGUUUUUCAGUGCUUGCACAGGGUCCCCAUCCCAUGGAGACCGACGAUAUGUAUUCAUCUCUACUACAACUUUAUAUCUUCCUGGCUUCACCGCCCCCCGAUGAGCAAGGAAACGCGAGUCCUCCGCCUUAGGGAGUUUACGUUUGAUGUCGUCUCGGGCUCGAUUUCUUGGGUGUUUGCUCCACUGAACUGGCACUGGGGGAGUCUUCUGAAACCUCCUCUUCUGUUGUGUUGGCUCUUUUAUUUUGAGGAGAGGAAUCGUCGGCGGCGGGUCUUUUCCUCUGCCCGGCGCACUGCUCUGCAAAGUCCGUCUGACUGCCAGCAACAUCAGUCUUUCGGCCUACACAGUGAGUGUCCUCUGAGAUUCCCUGAGAAGCGGCGCAAAUCGCGGUUUGGCAAUUCCCGUUUACAUCCAGGCUCUGACGGCCGGCGGACUUGCAGACGGCUUUGGAUAGCCUCGGCUGCCUGAAGUAGAAGUCGGGCGAGCUCCCCUUCUCCACGGCUUGCCACUCGUACCUGCCUUCCAGCGGCUUGUGGUUCUGGAAAUCGAAAUUCCACUUCCUCUGGCAUGCCUCUUCCAUUUCCUUGCGGUGCUUCUUCAAGUCCCUGUUUAACUCUUCGUGGUUUACCGGCCCGAAGAGGUUCCUGCAGGCCGACGGCUUCGGGUACUCCGACUGCCGCGCCUCCAUGCGCUCCAGGGUAGGGCUCCCAUUAGAAAUGCGGACGUUUGACAUCUCCCCCUCCCUUUCUGCCGUCACCGAUGGCGGUGGGUUUUCUCGCGGCUCUCCCCGCUCAGCCUCUCCGCUUCUUACCCGCGGCCGCUCGCAGGUUCUCCUCCGCGGUCUCUCUCCGUACGGCCCCCUCUCUGCGGCCCCGCCUCGGCCCGCGGAGGAGAGGCGGCAGCGCGCAAUUGCAUAAGCGCCGGGCCGGCCGAACCCCGACAGCCGCCGCCGGGCAGCCCGGGCGGCUCCGGAGGGGAGCAGCCGAGCGGGGAGCGGCGCUGCCCUCCGCGGCCCCGGGGGCGGCCUCGCGCUGCUAUCCGCACGGCCCCGCCGCUGUCCGCACGGCCCCGCCGCUCUCCCCACGGCCACGUCGUACGGGCGGAGAGGGAAAAAAAACAAGGCGAGACGAGCCCUUUUCUCAGUUGCCCAAUAUGGCGAUUGAAGGGAGGUUGACGAAGGAGAAAAUGAUUGACAGGACGAGUCUAUUUAAACAGCGGAGCCGAGCCAUUGGUUACGGCGGCCGGCACCGCCCCGUCGGCACGGCCGUACCUCGCCGCCGCCGCCGGCUCUAAAGGUGGCCCUGGCCGGCGGCCGCCCCUUGGCGGGCGGGGAGAGCGUGGGGGGCACGGCGCGGCGCGGCGCUCUGUACCGCUCCGCUCCGCGCACGUGAACCCGCCUCCCCCUGCAGAACCCGAGCGUGGUUAAAGUCGAGGGGGCUAGCUGCGUUUUGACUCGGUCUGGCCGUCGCUCUGCUUUCACCGGGUCGGGAGGUCGGGGCGGGCCGGGAGCUGCACCCCAGCUGGGGCGGGGGAGUGGGUCGCUGCCCGCAGAGAGAGAGAGAGAAAGCGAGGGGUGGCUCCUGCUGCCCCUCUGGUAGGGAGAGCCCAGGUGUGGAAGUAGCUGUAAGAAUUCUCAGCAGGGACCUGUGUUCUCAGUAAGCAAGGGAAAGAAAACGAAAGCCUUCAAGUUUGUGUAUUCUGCAGAUUAGUUGAGCCAGGAGUCACGGGCAGGGAUUUCUGAGCCAUUCCUCUGAUUGCUACAGCAGGUCUGCUGGAGUUAAGAGCAGUGCAGUGUUCUCCUCCGGGCCCUCCUUGUUCCCACUCCUUUCUACAGCCAGCAUCCCUUGCUCAGCAGGACAGUCCCACACACUACAGGACAAAAGGGCUGUUUUCAGAUACUGGAGGUUUGGGACUUCCCCAGGGCCCAGGUCACCUGGGGGCUACAGACCCCACAUACCAAAGUGCCUGGCCUGGCACCCCCUGCGAAGUGCAACUGUCCCAGAUCUUGUGGCCAUGAAGAUAGGGAGCUUUUGCCCUGUCUGUACUCGCACACACGUUUUGGGCCACCAAAACCUACCCUGCAGUUGCUGUUUUGAACUGGGCCCUCACCUGUGUAGGUACUGGAAAGGGAACAGAAUCAGCAUGUAGUGCUUAUCCCCAGGUUACAGUUGCCUGUAGGCCUCCUUCCCCGAGGCAGCAGCCCCCCACCUUGCUCAGCCUGCUUUCCUGGGUCAGCCUGGUCUUGUCAGCCCUGAGUUCAAAAAGAGAUGUGUGCAGGCAAAGAGAAGAAUAAAAAUGUUUAAAAAACACAAGGUUGAAAUAAAAUGUUAGCCGUGCUAUUUUUGUUUGUCAGAACUUUUACCACAAGUUGUUUUCCAGCUCCUCUCAGCAACCACAAGAUCUACCAAUUCACAGAGAAUUGAAGCUGACAUCCUCAUGUCUACAUCUUAGGUGUUUGUUGUUGGGAUUUCUGGGUUGUUGGGCUUCUUUGUUCUGCUUUGUUUUUUGAAGUUGCAACUCUGUGAAAAAAAAACACACAACUUCUUGAGCUGGCAAAGUGAGACCUAUUCAUCUGCUUCAUUUGAGGACUUCUUUUUCUGUUCUCCAGGCUUUCCUGUCUUUAACUUAGCCACCAUCAAGGCAGUGCCAUUUCAGAAUUCUCCACUUCUCAUGCGAGGUGUGGGACACUUGGGUUGUUUUCUUAGCUGUCCACAAGAGUGGGUAUAUAGCAGGAAAGCAGUCUGCAGAUCUGUUGUGCAGCUCCCCGGUAACCUGCUGAAACCUUCUGAGAUAGGGAGCUCCCACUGCCCCAUCCCUGUCUUGCUGGGAGCCACUGCCUGACUCCUGUAACCAGAAAAGUCCUUGACGGCAGGAUUAUGACACAGUGCAAACCCAUGCCAAUAAUAAUAAUUAUGAUCGUGAUGAUUGGUAAUAAUAGGAAGCAAACACUGGAAAAUACACCGUAGCCUCACGGAUAAACACCCGCAGACACGAUGGCAGCAGAAAAGAGCACAGAUUUAUC
rnacentral:lncRNA from 1 species